UACGUAGGGCGCAAGCGUUAAUCGGAAUUACUGGGCGUAAAGCGUGCGCAGGCGGUGAUGUAAGACAGUUGUGAAAUCCCCGGGCUCAACCUGGGAACUGCAUCUGUGACUGCAUCGCUGGAGUACGGUAGAGGGGGAUGGAAUUCCGCGUGUAGCAGUGAAAUGCGUAGAUAUGCGGAGGAACACCGAUGGCGAAGGCAAUCCCCUGGACCUGUACUGACGCUCAUGCACGAAAGCGUGGGGAGCAAACAGG
rnacentral:rRNA from 1 species